AUUGAACGCUGGCGGCAGGCCUAACACAUGCAAGUCGAGCGGAUGAAGGGAGCUUGCUCCUGGAUUCAGCGGCGGACGGGUGAGUAAUGCCUAGGAAUCUGCCUGGUAGUGGGGGAUAACGUCCGGAAACGGGCGCUAAUACCGCAUACGUCCUGAGGGAGAAAGUGGGGGAUCUUCGGACCUCACGCUAUCAGAUGAGCCUAGGUCGGAUUAGCUAGGUGGUGGGGUAAAGGCCUACCAAGGCGACGAUCCGUAACUGGUCUGAGAGGAUGAUCAGUCACACGGGAAGUGAGACAGGGUCCAGACUCCUACGGGAGGCAGCAGUGGGGAAUAUUGGACAAUGGGCGAAAGCCUGAUCCAGCAAUGCCGCGUGUGUGAAGAAGGUCUUCGGAUUGUAAAGCGCUGUAAGUUGGGAGGAAGGGCAGUAAGUUAAUACCUGGCUGUUUUGACGGUACCAACAGAAUAAGCACCGGCUAACUUCGUG
rnacentral:rRNA from 1 species